CCUACGGGAGGCAGCAGUGGGGAAUCUUGCGCAAUGGGCGAAAGCCUGACGCAGCCAUGCCGCGUGUAUGAUGAAGGUCUUAGGAUUGUAAAAUACUUUCACCGGUGAAGAUAAUGACUGUAGCCGGAGAAGAAGCCCCGGCUAACUUCGUGCCAGCAGCCGCGGUAAUACGAAGGGGGCUAGCGUUGCUCGGAAUUACUGGGCGUAAAGGGAGCGUAGGCGGACAUUUAAGUCAGAGGUGAAAUCCCGGAGCUUAACUUCGGAACUGCCUUUGAUACUGGGUGUCUUGAGUGUGAGAGAGGUGAGUGGAACUCCGAGUGUAGAGGUGAAAUUCGUAGAUAUUCGGAAGAACACCAGUGGCGAAGGCGACUCACUGGCUCAUUACUGACGCUGAGGCUCGAAAGCGUGGGGAGCAAACAGGAUUAGAUACCCUGGUAGUC
rnacentral:rRNA from 1 species